GACGAACGCUGGCGGCGUGCCUAACACAUGCAAGUCGAACGGAAAGGCCCGGCUCUUGCGGGGUGCUUGUGUGGCGCACGGGUGAGUAACACGUGAGUAACCUGCCCCUGACAUUGGGAUAACUUCAGGAAACUGGGGCUAAUACCGGAUAUGAGCUUCUGCUGCAUGGUGGUCGAUGGAAAGAUUCGGCGGUUCGGGAUCGACUGGCGGGUUAUGGGCUUCUUGGUGGGGUAGUUGCUGUCAAAGCCUUUGACGGCUAGCCGGCCUGAGAGGCGGGCCGGCCACAUGGGGACUACGGUACGGCGCAGACUCCUACGGUACGCAGCAGGGGAGAAUAUUACAGAGUGGGCGGAAGCCUGAGGCAGCGACCCCGCGAGCGGGAUGACGGCCUUCGGGUGGUAAACCGCUUUCGCAUGUGACGAACCGUGAGUGGCGGUAAUGGGUAAAAAAGCAACGGCUAACUACGUG
rnacentral:rRNA from 1 species